UACGUAGGGUGCGAGCGUUAAUCGGAAUUACUGGGCGUAGAGCGUGCGCAGGCGGUUUUGCAAGCCAGAUGUGAAAUCCCCGGGCUUAACCUGGGAAUGGCAUUUGGGACUGCAAGGCUUGAGUUUGGCAGAGGAGACUGGAAUUCCUGGUGUAGCAGUGAAAUGCGUAGAUAUCAGGAGGAAUACCGAUGGCGAAGGCAGGUCUCUGGGCUAGAACUGACGCUCAUGCACGAAAGCGUGGGGAGCAAACAGG
rnacentral:rRNA from 1 species